rnacentral:rRNA from 1 species
CCCCCGAAAUAGCUUUAGGGCUAGCGUUAUGUUAGAUUACCGGAGGUAAAGCACUGAAUGGGCUAGGGGCUGAUAAAGUUACUGAACCCUAUCAAACUCAGAAUGCCGGCUAAUUGAUGCAUAGCAGUCAGACUACGUGAGAUAAGUCUCGUGGUCAAAAGGGAAACAGCCCAGACCCACAGCUAAGGUCCCUAAUAGAUACUAAGUGGAAAACGAUGUGAGAUUGCCCAGACAACCAGGAUGUUGGCUUAGAAGCAGCCACUCAUUAAAAGAGUGCGUAAUAGCUCACUGGUCGAGUGGUCUUGCGCGGAAAAUAUAACGGGGCUAAGUAUCUAACCGAAGCUUGGGCUUGCGUUUACGCAGGGGUAGGGGAGCGUCGAAUACGGGGUGAAGUCAGAGCGGAAGCACUGGUGGACUGUAUUCGAGUGAGAAUGCCGGAAUGAGUAGCGAGAAUUAUGUGGGAAUCAUAAUGGCCGAAAAUCUAAGGUUUCCUGGGGAAGGUUCGUCCGCCCAGGGUUAGUCGGGAGCUAAGGCGAGGCCGCGAGGCGUAGUCGAUGCACAUACGGUUGAAAUUCCGUAACCACCUUAUCGAAUGAAAGCUGACACUUGGAAAUAGCGGGACCCGGAGAUUGGUAGAUCCGGGCGUAAGGGACCGAAUACGAGUAGGAAAGUCCGCGAUGUUCCGAGGCGAGAAAAGGCGAAGGUAGGGUGCCCGUACCGCAAACCGACACAGGUAGAUGAGGAGAGAAUCCUAAGGCCAACGGGAGAAGGGUUGUUAAGGAACUCGGCAAAAUGACCCCGUAACUUCGGGAUAAGGGGAGCCUGUCUAUGGCAGGCCGCAGAGAAUAGGCCCAAGCGACUGUUUACCAAAAACACAGGUCUAUGCUAAAUCGAAAGAUGACGUAUAUGGGCUGACGCCUGCCCGGUGCUGGAAGGUUAAGAGGAGAUGUCAGGCAACGAAGCAUUGAAUCGAAGCCCCAGUAAACGGCGGCCGUAACUAUAACGGUCCUAAGGUAGCGAAAUUCCUUGUCAGGUAAGUUCUGACCCGCACGAAUGGCGUAACGAUUUGGGCGCUGUCUCAACAGCCCACCCGGCGAAAUUGUUGUACUGGUGAAGAAGCCAGUUACCCGCAACUAGACGGAAAGACCCCAUGGAGCUUUACUGCAGCUUAAUACUGGAAUUCGGUAAUUCAUGUACAGGAUAGGUGGGAGACUGAGAACUAACGUCGUCAGGCGCUAGGGAGUCGCCCUUGGGAUACCACUCUUGAAUUGCUGGGUUUCUAACCUGCGGCCGUGAAUCCGGUCGGGGGACACUGUUAGGCAGACAGUUUGACUGGGGCGGUCGCCUCCUAAAAGGUAACGGAGGCGCUCAAAGGUUGGCUCAGCACGGACGGAAAUCGUGCAAUGAGUGUAAACGUAUAAGCCAGCCUAACUGCGAGAGUGACGGCUCGAGCAGUAACGAAAGUUGGAGUUAGUGAUCCGGUGGUAUGUGAGUGGAAAUGCCAUCGCUCAACGGAUAAAAGCAAAAG